GACGAACGCUGGCGGCGUGCCUAAUACAUGCAAGUAGAACGCUGAAGGAGGAGCUUGCUUCUCUGGAUGAGUUGCGAACGGGUGAGUAACGCGUAGGUAACCUGCCUGGUAGCGGGGGAUAACUAUUGGAAACGAUAGCUAAUACCGCAUAAUAGCAGUUGUUGCAUGAUAACUGUUUGAAAGGUGCAAUUGCACCACUACCAGAUGGACCUGCAUUGUAUUAGCUAGUUGGUGGGGAACGGCUCACCAAGGCGACGAUACAUAGCCGACCUGGGAGGGUGAUCGGCCACACUGGGACUGAGACACGGCCCAGACUCCUACGGGAGGCAGCAGUAGGGAAUCUUCGGCAAUGGACGGAAGUCUGACCGAGCAACGCCGCGUGAGUGAAGAAGGGUUUCGGAUCGUAAAGCUCUGUUGUAAGAGAAGAACGAGUGUGAGAGUGGAAAGUUCACACUGUGACGGUAUCUUACCAGAAAGGGACGGCUAACUACGUG
rnacentral:rRNA from 1 species